rnacentral:rRNA from 1 species
UACGAAGGGUGCAAACGUUGCUCGGAAUUAUUGGGCGUAAAGCGCACGUAGGCGGCUUUGCAAGUCGGAUGUGAAAUCCCUCGGCUUAACCAAGGAAGUGCAUCCGAAACUGCAGAGCUUGAGUACUUAAGAGGAUCGCGGAAUUCCCGGUGUAGAGGUGAAAUUCGUAGAUAUCGGGAGGAACACCAGUGGCGAAGGCGGCGAUCUGGGAAGAUACUGACGCUGAGGUGCGAAAGCGUGGGGAGCAACAGG